UAGGGAAUCUUCCACAAUGGACGCAAGUCUGAUGGAGCAACGCCGCGUGAGUGAAGAAGGCUUUCGGGUCGUAAAACUCUGUUAUUGAAGAAGAACGUGUGUGACAGUAACUGGUCAUGCAGUGACGGUAUUCAAUCAGAAAGUCACGGCUAACUACGUGCCAGCAGCCGCGGUAAUACGUAGGUGGCAAGCGUUGUCCGGAUUUAUUGGGCGUAAAGCGAGUGCAGGCGGUCUUUUAAGUCUGAUGUGAAAGCCUUCGGCUUAACCGAAGAAGGGCAUCGGAAACUGGGAGACUUGAGUGCAGAAGAGGAGAGUGGAACUCCAUGUGUAGCGGUGAAAUGCGUAGAUAUAUGGAAGAACACCAGUGGCGAAGGCGGCUCUCUGGUCUGUAACUGACGCUGAGGCUCGAAAGCGUGGGUAGCAAACAGGAUUAGAUACCCUGGUAGUCCACGCCGUAAACGAUG
rnacentral:rRNA from 1 species